rnacentral:rRNA from 1 species
GACGAACGCUGGCGGCGUGCUUAACACAUGCAAGUCGAACGCUGAAGCUUGGUGCUUGCACUGGGUGGAUGAGUGGCGAACGGGUGAGUAAUAAGUGAGUAACCUGCCCUUGACUCUGGGAUAAGCCUGGGAAACUGGGUCUAAUACUGGAUACGACAUGUCACCGCAUGGUGGUGUGUGGAAAGGGUUUUACUGGUUUUGGAUGGGCUCACGGCCUAUCAGCUUGUUGGUGGGGUAAUGGCUCACCAAGGCGACGACGGGUAGCCGGCCUGAGAGGGUGACCGGCCACACUGGGACUGAGACACGGCCCAGACUCCUACGGGAGGCAGCAGUGGGGAAUAUUGCACAAUGGGCGGAAGCCUGAUGCAGCGACGCCGCGUGAGGGAUGACGGCCUUCGGGUUGUAAACCUCUUUCAGUAGGGAAGAAGCGAAAGUGACGGUACCUGCAGAAGAAGCACCGGCUAACUACGUG